GUAGUCGUGGCCGAGUGGUUAAGGCGACAGACUAGAAAUCUGCUGGGAUAUUCCCGCGCAGGUUCAAAUCCUGCAGACUACG
rnacentral:tRNA from 1 species